CACCCCCGCGGAGGGCAGGGGGGGCCGGCCCGGUGCCGGGGGACGCGCCGGUGCCUCCCCCCGGGCGGGGACCGGCGACCGGCGCGGGGGUCCCCGCCGAGCCCCGAGGCGCUCCCGGGGUCCCGGGGGGAUGUCCCUGUGGCCGUGCGGGUGCUCCGGUGCCGCGGCUGCGUUUGGGGAACACGUUCUUCCGUGGCUGGGGGUCCUGUCUGUGCCUUGGGCCGCCCCCCCGCCCACCGUGUCUGUGCUGCGGGUACGCGUGGGGUGACACUGGGUGCGUGUCCACCCCACUCCUGCACACCUGAGUGACACUGGGUGUCUUUACACCCCACUCCUGCACACCUGAGUGACACUGAGUGCAUUUACACCCCACUCCUGCACACCUGAGCGACUCUGGGUGCGUGUCCACCCCACUCAGGUGGCACUGGGUGCAUCCACACCCCACUCCUGGACACUCAGCUGACACUGGGUGUGUGUCCACCCCACUCCUGCACACCUGGGUGACACUGGGUGUCUUUACACCUCACUCAGGUGGCACUGAGUGCAUCCACCCCCCACUCCUGCACACCCAAGUGGCACUGGAUGCGUGUGCAUCCUGCUUAGGUGACACUGAGUACAUUUACACUCCACUCAGCUGACACUGGGUGCAUUUACACCCCGCUCCUGCACACCUGGGUGACACUGGGUACAUUUAUACCCUGCUCCUGGACACCCAGCUGACACUGGGUGCAUUCACACCCCACUCCUGCACAGCUGGAUGACACUGGGUACAUUUACACCCCACUCUUGCACACCUGGGUGACACUGGGUGCAUUUACACCCCAGUCCUGCACACCUGGGUGACACUGGAUACAUUUACACCCUGCUCCUGCACACCUGGGUGACACUGGGUGCAUUCACACCCCGCUCUUGCACCCCCAGGCUUUGGGAUGUCUGUGGGAAACGCGGUAUGUGAGCUCUGGGGUGUGUGUGGGUUCACUUCAGGUUCAUGUCCCCAGGGUUAUCUGCUCACUUGGAAAUAUGGAUAAGGCCCAGAUAAAAACGUUCCGAGUGCUGCCGGUGACGUUGGCACGCGGGGCACGGCCAGGUGUGUCCAGGCUGGAUGCUGGAGAUCCCUGUGCCUCGGGAUGUAGGGCUGGGGACAUGAUUGCACCCACCCCGGGGGGGUCCUUGGGGUGCCCCUUUCCCAGGAGUGCCCCUUUCCCAGGAGUGCCCCUUUCCCAGGAGUGCCCCUUUCCCAGGAGUGCCCCUUUCCCAGGAGUGCCCCUUUCCCAGGAGUACCCCUUUCCCAGGAGUGCCCUGUCCUGGCUGCCCUCUGGAAUCACGUGGUGUCCCUGGUGGAUCCGUGUUGGAUGUGCACCUGUGGAUAAGGCAGGUACCCACUGUCCCCUCGGGGUAGGUGCAGGGAGUGAGUAACCUCUGGGUAGGUACGUUGCCCAUGUGUAGGUGUGACCUGUUCUCGUAGAUCCAUCCAAGCUCCCCAGGUGGAUGCACCCAUGGACAUGGAUACUCCCUGGAGUAGGGAAUGCUGUAGGUACAGCCAGACAUCCUGCUGUGGGUGGAUGUAGGGGAUGCACGUUUUCCACAGGCUCCCGAGUUGCUGGUGCCUGGCAUCCUUCCCGUUGGGAGUCUCAGCAGGAGGAGUUUUUCCUCAUAGUGCAAGAACCUUUUGGGGGAUGUAGGGGAAAUGUCCCUGUCACAAGGGGAACCUCCCACCUCACUCCAUCUCCAUACCAAUGGACUUCCACCCUUUUUCCUCGUUGCUCUAAAGUUUCCUCUCCCUGUGGAAGACCCAGGCUGAGGGAUUUUGUCUCCGUAACCACGAUCUCCUUCCGUGUGGCUUCCCUGAAACUGGAGUCUCUCCUGGAGAUUCCUUGGGAAGGAGCACAUCCCUGUAAGGCAGGGUUGUCUGGAUCAAGGGCUCCUCCAUCCCUUUAGGAAUCCCUGCUGUGGGGUUCAGUUCCUCAGUAAAGGACAUUUUUCCGCUAAAACCGUGACUCCCCUCCCCAGUGUCUGGAGCCCUCUCCAUUUGAUAUCCUAAUUCCAUCUCUAUUUUUAGAGACCCUCAGGGCAUCCAUAUUUCUCCUCAAAUGUUCUUAAUGCUUCUGAACUCCUCUCUUAUCCCUCUCCAUUCUUUUUUUUCUUUUUGUGUUAAACCACAGACAGGGUUUUUCUCCCCGCACUCCUCUCCCGAAUUCCGUGGCGUCGGAUUGCAUCAGUGAGUCGGGGAGGGAAGGGGCAUCUCGGUGGGGUCAAACCAGCCCCAAUCCCUUAUCCCUGCCUGGAUGCUCCGAGUCACAGCAGCAGGUGCCUCCCAAGGGCAGAGCAGAGGGAUGCCAGGCUUCCAGGAGAAACCUGGCUGCGGGAGGAGCAGGCAGGAGGCUGCUGGAGCAGCAGCAGUGCCCAGCUGGCUCCUGUGCCGGGUUUGUUUGGGAGCUGCCAAUCUGUCUGGUUGCUAAAGGAAGCUGGGUGUGUUGUUGGGGGGAUCUGGGAGUACAGACUGUUCCUUCCCUCGCUUUUCCCUGCUCUGUUGCUUCCCGGUGACUUCAGCCUGUGUUCCAGUGACUCCGCAGUGGUCGGGAGGAAUUUUAUUUACUGGAGCCACAAAUCCAGAGUCCUUCCCACUGUUCCUUGGGAAGCCAUGGCAUAAACCACCGGGUUUGGUGGCCAUAAAAUCGUUCCCAGGCCUGUGACUGUAACAUCAGGCAUGUGGAGCUGAAGCAUCUGGGGAAAGAAGGUUUAGUGCAAAAAUAAGCCUGAAAGAAGCAGAUAAAUUUCUGUAGUCAGAGCCAAUAGAACCUUGCUGAAAUAAAGGUAAAGGUCUAGUUAAAACAGAUUAAAUUUGUAGUGAAACUGUAAUUCUUAACGGUGUUUGUCCGGGAGAAGAAAAUCUCAGUAGGUUUUUCUCGACCGGUUUAUUGUAUUUUAUGUGGUUUGUAUAUUAUAUUUAUAUAUUUUUCCUGUGUUUUUUCCUUUCCCUGAAAUUUUAACGCACAUUCCUGAAAUGCUGCGCCGCCAAAUUUCGAUUUUGUGGUUCCGAGACAAAAACAGGGUUCCCAGAAAACAGCAGUGACUCCUUUUUUUUUUUUUUUUUUUCCUAAUACCACCCUCAUUUUAAAUCUACUUUUAUGCCAGUUUAGUGCUUUACUUACGUCUGUCUGCCUUUGGAUGCUCGAAUUCAUUUUCUACCAUUUUCCUUGGCAGAGUGUAAAAUAGGGAGUAGUAGACUAUGGGUAGAUAAUGUAUAUAUAAAAUGUAUGUAGAUUAUAUUUUUAUGUGUAUAUAGUGUGUGUAUAUAUAUAUAACACAUAUAUAUUAUAUAUAUACACACUAUAGGUAGUUCUGAGCUUGUCUCUGCUACCUGCGGGGUGAUUCCCAUGAGAUCCCAGGGGAGAUGGGAUGUUGUUGUUCCCUUUGGAUCCUUGCUGCUGUUCUGUGCUCUCCAGAAAUGGCUGGAAUUCCUCAUUUUUGCAGUGACACUGGACUUGUGCAGCUGACUGUGCCUGUGGAUGUGUCUGUGACCUCCACGGGUGCCCGUGCAGGGGGACGGAGCCGAAUCCUGCUUGUCCGGAGCUCCCUCUGUGCCUGGGGUGUGGGAUACUGGCCUGAGUUCAGCAGUUCUCCAGGCCCUCUCCUGACCCUCCUGCCGGGUUCUCCCACAGCUCCAACAUCAGGGAGCUCAAACUGCACAAAAUUGCUCCCUUCAGGUUGAGCAGGUUUUCCACUGACACGAUUCCGUCCAACGCGGGGUCGAGGAAGAGCCGGGAACGGGGCGGGAGAAGUGUCCCGGUGUGCUGGGGUCACACCACGGCACAGGGGCGGGUUGGUGUGGGUGGGAAGGAUGGAAAAGCCUCUCCAGCAGCAGCUGGAUGCUGCCCUGGCCGGGCUGUGGCACAGAUGUGGCUGUGGCAGAGUCAGGAGGUGCGUGGGGAGCUCUGCCGGCCCCGCUCCCGCGGCGAGGGGAACUGAACCGAGGGGCUGAGUAACAGCCUCAGGUGUCCUGGGCUAAACUCACCCCUGCCUGUGAGUCAGGCCCUGAGUCACAUGGCUUGUUUGCGAUUUUGGGUUGAAAUGUGAUGUUUUGAUGAUGAGAUGAUCACUCAUCAGCUUUGGGGGGGUGGUGGCCACUUGUGUUAAUUCCUUGAGCGUUCCUUGCUCAGAGCGGCUGAGAGCCACGGAACUUCUGGAAAUGUUGUUGUUCGUGGGGUGGGAGCUGCAAUUAAGACUCUUAAACUGAUUAGUUGGAUGAUCUCAGCCUUGUAAUAACUCUGUGCCCCUCUUUUGCUGAGAGAAGUCAUGGAAUCACAGGAUGGGUUGGGUUGGAAGGGACCAUAAAGCUCAUGCAGUUCCAACCCCCCCCCCAAUAAGAAUAACUUUGAUUUAAACAGAUGCAGUCCUUGGUUUAAUGAUUCUGAAGUGCUUGGCAAGCCAGGCUUUGUAGGCAAGUGAGGCUUUGUGACUGCUUGUACCCCACACUGGGAAGGUUGAACGGCAGCGACUGUGUCGCUGCGAAGUUUCAUAUGAAGCAAAUACCAAUUUACAAAGCAAAAGGUUAUUUUUCUCCUGUGCCAGCCCCUCUGCACAAAGCCCAGGCUGACUCCUUGGGGUUCAAGCUGUGUUCUUUUGCUCCUCAGCAGAGGUUUUAGGCUGGGGAGGGGUUGAUUUGCUGGUGCUGCUGGUUCAUUGGGUGGGCUGGAGCAGGGCACAGCUUGCUCUUCCAGAGCCAGGGGCUGUGGGAAGGGGUGGCUUUUGUCCGUGGGAGAGGGACAAAUAACGAGGUGACACCCUUGUGUAAUGUCACUGCCUGAGUAGAACCCUCCUGAAACUCCUGAGCGUGAAACCCCCCCGGUGCAGGGAUUGCAUCCAGAUAAAUGCCUGCUGCUCGCUGGACUGGCACAUCACCUGACCGGGAGCUGCCAGGGGAGGUUUUGUUCUGCUAAGACUAUAAAUGACUCUCAUGUGGCUUGUCUAAAUGAUGACUCUGACCUUGGCUCCCAGCAGAUUUCACCGCCUGCGAUGGAAACGUCGCUUUUCCCUCCUAAAAUGUGGGUGAAUUCCCCCCUUUUGUGGGGCAGAGGGGUGGGGUUUUUUUGGCUCCGUUGGGGAUUUCCCACAUCCUCCUUCGCCGCUCUUCUCUUCGCUCCGUUUCCUUCUAAGCCCCAGUGCUCACUUAUGCCAGGUAAUAAAUGCUUCCCCCUGGGGCUGAAUUCCCAAGUGCUGCACAGAAUGAGCGUGGUUGGAAUGCUGUUUAGGAAAACCUUGUCAUGGGAGGCCAUGUUCCUUUAUUACCUGUGAGGAUCGCGGGCUGUCUCCGGUUAAUUUUAAGAAGGUGCCUGGAACUGCGUGCACAGAUCGAUACCUCAACCUUUGGGACCGAGGAUCGGGGAGGGAAGAGGAGAUUAAGGGAGGUUGGGGAAGAAGGGACAGGGCAGUGAUGGCUGUGAGCACCGUGGAAGGCUGUAGGAUGGAACGGGGCGCAGGCCGGGGAACCUCAGACUUUGUGGCUGGGAAAGGCCGUGGCACUGCACCUCUGCUCCUGUCUCGGGUCAAAAUUAGUGGAGCACAGAAAGAUCUUUGUGUUUGUGUCUUUCCUGGAGGGACAGAAACCUGAUCUUUGAAUUUAUGGGCAAUUAAAGGCGUCGUCGUAGCUUUGGCCCCGAGUCGGCGCGUGAAAAAUGAGCCGGGGAAGGGAAUUGCGGCCUCCGGAGCCGGGUCUGACCUCUCGGGUUUUGUUUUCAACUCUGCCCAGUGAACUGGAAAACAACGUGAUCGAUUGAACUCCAGCAAGGAAGAGACUGAGGGAAAGCUGGGAAGAAAGGAAGGAUCCAGGUAGCUCAGGUGUAACAGGAAGGUUUCUGCACGUGACAGGGGACCUGCAGCGUUGGUUAAAUCAAGGAAUGCUGAAAGAGUGGAAUUCUCAAAAUGUCGUAGAAGCUGCCUCAGUGGGAGGCGACAAAACCCAAGCACUUAACUUUUUUUUCUUUGGUAUUUAGAAUAUUAUAAAUAGAUAUUUAGGGGGAGAUGGAACUGGAUGAUCUUUAAGGUCCCUUCCGGCCCAAACCGUUCUGUAAUUCUGUGAUUUAUUUUCUAUUUCAGUUUUGCAGAUUCCAGCCAGAAGUCCAAGAGUAGAACCUCAGUCAUGGGAAGGAAACCUCCUUGGGGUAGGAUGGUUGAUGUCCUGUUCAAUCCCUGUGUAGAAAGGGGAAGCUGUAGGUUACAAGUGUGAACGAGGAGUGGAAGAGCCUGAGAAAUAAAGUCCAGCCUCUAAAGAAAAUCACUGGAGGCUGUUUGCUUUAAAUCCCAGCGAAACUGUUACACUUUGGGGCUUGGAAUGAGCAACAAAGUGACAGGGAGGAAAAGAGGGAGUUAAGGAUAAAAUAAGCUUUGAGUAUUUCUUGCACCCAAUCCUCGGUGCUCAGGUCUGCAGCGAAAGGCAAUUCUAGCCAAGGAAAAAAACCCCUGAAAUGCCUCAAUUUCGGGCUAGAAAAGCCAUAGUUUAGUUCCUUCCUUUGGUGGCUGCUCUGGUGUCAGUUCAGGGCUUUUUUUUUUUUUUUUUGCUGGGAAGUUUGUAAAUGGGAGCAGGAGGUGUGGGAGCUCCCGGGAGGAGCAGCCGGCGCUGACGCAGGGAGGCAAAAACGGGCCGUGUUUGCAGCCCCAACAUCAGCCCCCUCAGAAUCAUCCCUUCCAGGGGAUCUUCCUGACACCCAGGGGAAAUAUUGCCACGAGGUGAAAAGGGAGGGAAGGGGUUUGGUCAGUCCUGUUCUCUCUGCAGCUGUGGGAAAUCCAGCUGUCCCAUCCCGCUGUCCCUCGCAGAGGUGAUCCUGGAGAGCACAGCUGGGGGUGUGUGUGCACUGCAUUAAUCCAAACCCUGCUCUGGGAGAAGCCACUAAAUGACAAGAGAGGCCCGAGGAACGUGGAAUAAUGCUUUUUCAGGCAGCUGGGAGGCCAAAGAUUUUAAAAAAAAACCAAAAAAAAAUCAUUUUUUUGGAGAACACUUCUCAUCUGACCCUUUUUCCGCUCGAGGCCUUGAAGCAGUAAAUUGCUGGUGGGCUGAAUGGCUUUAGUAAAUGUGGUUUUGUGGGUUGUUUUUUGUUCCCAGAUGUAUUUGGGGAAGGCCAGUGUUGUUGAAGUACGUGGGCUUGGCGUUUUUUUUUGCAUCAAAAAUUUGCACAGCUCUUCCCAGAGCAGGAGUUCAGCCUUUGCAGGUGGAGCUGUUGAUGAACCACUGUCUUCCUAAGGAAACUUGGAAACUCGAUAUGUUUUGUGGGAGCAGCUCAGUUUCUCUGUGCUUACUCCAAAAUAGAGUUCCUAGAAUGAGGAAUGCUGAGGUUAUAAUGGAGUCAUGGAAUGGUUUGGGGUGGGAAGGACCUUAAAACCCACCUCAUUCCCACCCCUGCCAUGGGCAGGGACGAUUUCCAUGAGAUCAGGUUGCUCCAGGACUGAUCAGAAGUUGUUAUUCUCCAAAAGUCUACGUGGAGCUGAUUAAAUUGGCACCUUGAUUUAUGAUGCUUCUCCCUAAUUAUGGAGAGAGAGAGAGUUUGUGCUGCAGAGAGAACCUUUAAUUGUGGAGGGUUGUUUAAUUUGGCACAGUGUUAUUAUUGGAAAAUGUACAUUUAUAGUUAUAUAAAUCCACAUUGAAAUAUCUUUUAGUUUUAUUAUAGUAGAAAUGUGCACAGAUGUCUGGGAUGAAGCAGCUGUUAAAGGAGAGCCGAGGAUUUCGUGUGACUUUCCAGAAGAUUCUGUGGCCAACAGAGCAGUUCCCUGCAGGGAGUGACACUGGCAGGGACUUUUCUGGGGGUUGGGUGACCUUAUCCAGCUUGUGUCUGAGGUGAAAGGCUUUCCUGCAAAUGUAACCCUGGGAUAAGCAGGGAUGGGGGAGAGCCUGGAACUGACAUUCCAAACGGCUCCCCAGAGGGCUGGGGUGCUUUGGGGGGUAUUUUCCAGCUUUUCCAAGGUAGUACCAGGUUUAUAGCUGGACUCCUCAUCCCUGGAUGAGGGCAAGUUGGACAGGGCUUGGAGCAACUUGGGCUGGUGGAAGGUGUCCCUGCCCAGGGCAGGAGGUGGCACUGGAUGGGCUUUAAGGUCCCUUCCCACCGAAACCGUUCCAGGAUUCUCUGAAUGUGCUGAAAUUAAAGCCAUUUGUCAAUAAACUUGGGGGUUCCUGCGAUCUGGGGACCAUCUGACCUUUUUCCCCAGCUCUGUUGUGCCCUUAUUAAAUGUCGAGGCAGAGUUCCCACCUUCCCACCGGCUCCAGUGGGAGCUUCUCCAAGUCCUGGGUCGUGAGCCGUGACGAGAGGGUGAUCCCACAGUGAGUGCCCAGCUGUGGGGAGGUGCCUGGCAUUGCUGGAAACUUGUCUGAACAGAUGGAGGCAGCCCCAGGAGUUGGUCAGACCUGAGUCACUCGGUGUCCUUUCUCCUCAGGAUGCAUCAGCUCCCAGAGCAGGGCUGGCACCUGCACCCGCCUGCAGAGACCUGCCUGGAGCAGGGAAAACCACGGAAUUUAAAUGCACAGGGCAGCAGGUAACAGCCCAACCAACCCCUCGUUCUUCCCAGUGUCUCCUGCACUUUGCACUCUUUGCACUCUCCCUGCAGCUUCCCGGGGGGAAGAGCAAAACAUCAGGAAAUCCACCCCUCAAACUGUUCAGUCCUCUGAUGGAGACAAGCUCUCCACACAGCAGCAGUGGGUGCACUUAUGUGCAGAAUGUAUAACUAACAACCAUAAUUCUGGAGGUUCUUUACUUUUGGUCAGCUUCCCAGCCUUAAUAUUCCCCUAAUUUUUAGCCUUUUCCUGUGUGAAGUGGAAAGCUGCAGCGCUCCGACCUUGCUUUAAAUUGCACUGUUGGAACUCCAGGUAUUUAUUAUUUUUUCUCCUGGCAGAGCCUUAAAUAGGCAGCCAGUUGCAUUUUUCAUGAGUGUCAGAAAGAGGAGGAAAAGUCAGUUGAAAAAUUAGUCCCUUCCAAGGAACUGCUGAACCACCCGAUGGCAAAUUACAUUCUGAAAGUGUUCAAAAAUCAGAGUCUGAGGAUGCCUCGAGCUGGGAGUUGGGAAGCUUUGCUUCUUGUUUACUCCUCAGAGGUGAAGUGAUCGAUGUUUCACCGUGAAGUUAUGUGAGAAAAGCCAGGGAAUGGACUGUUCCCAUAAAAAUGACUCAAGGACCAAUUUAGGGAAACAGCUUCCAGCAGUUCGUGCCGGUAUCUGUUCCCAGUGGUUUCCUUCCAGCUCCCCCAAAGCCUGCUGACUCAGGUUUGGGGUUCUCUCCAGGACUCCAGUGUUUCUGGAGGUGGGGAAAUGGGCUUGGAUCCUUCUCAGUAUGGGCUGAGAUGGCUUUUAUUGUUUGCAGAUUGCACCGAUGUGUUCGAUGUGGGGUUUUUUUUGGUUCAAAAAAACCCCAACCUGUGACACUCUGGGCCAUGAUUUCCAUCGUUUCAGUUUUCAUUCAUUGAAGGGCUUUCUGUAAAAUAAAUUGCUGCAGUUUUUCUCCUCUUCGUUGGCGUUGAAUCCUCUCCAGUCCUUCUGCUGUUACUGGGUGAGAUUCCAAGAGCUGAUAACAAAAUCCUCAAGUCAUUUAGAAAAGAGUUGAUUCUCUUGGAGAUCCUUGUGUGCACGAGGUUUUAUUACUUGGGUGUGCUUUUAGCAAGGACGCUGAGGCCGAUACUUGGCAAGGAGGGCACGUAUUAUUUUUGUUUAAUUGUUUAUUUUUGGACUCUGAGAAGCCACUUGGCCAAGUUCGGGCCUGAGAAGCCACAAGGAGGUGGUGAAGUGUCCCUUUAUUUCACGCCCUGUGUGCUCCAAGGUGGGGAAUUGCUGGGAAGGUGACGAGUUCAUGGGGCUGGGGGACACUGGCUGUGACUGUUGGGAGAUUUGCUCUUUGCUGGGUUGCUUUGGGAAGUCAGGACAUGGAGAAGUGACAGUGGCAGGACAAGAGGAAACGGCCUCGAGUUGUGCCAGGGAAGAUUCAGGUUGGAAAAUUGGGAAAAUUUCUUCCUGGAAAGGGCUGUCAGACGUUGGAAGGGGCUGCCCAGGGCAGGGGGGAGUCCCCAUUCCUGGGGGGAUUUCCAAGCCCUGUGGAUGUGGCACUUGGGGACAGGGGGCAAUGGUGGCCUUGGCAGAGCUGGGGGAUGGUUGGACUCGAUCUCAGAGGGCUUUUCCAACCUAAACAAUUCCAUGAUUCCAUGGAGACUGAAGGUCUCUGCUUGGAAAGGAACAGCUCCACAAUGCAGUUGGUAUCCUGGUCUGGAGAGAGGGGCAGGAUUUGGAAGGAGGUCGUGCCAUGCCAGGGUGUUCCUGUCAGCAAGGGCUGGAAUAUCAGCUUUUCCUGGCCCUUCCCUGUUUCCUCUGGGGGCUUCUAUCCAUCUGUUUUCCUCAUUAGUACCUGUGGUCUUCUGGAAAGGUCCAACAAACUCGACUAGUGCUCUGAUGGAUUUUAGGCUUGAGUGGCUAAAACCUUAGUUCAAGCUUAAACAGAGGAGUCAGGGUUUGGGUUUGUUCCCACCUUGCCAUAAUCCCGAAUCCCAGCAUCAGUGGGAAUUUUAGCUGGUGGGGAAAAGACACUGAAGAGGAGGAUAACCAAGCAAUAAACAGUGGCAGAAGUGCUGAAUCCCAGAGAACCCUGAAUCCCAGAGUAUCCUGAUUUUUGUUGUCUGACUUUGUCACGCGCCCAAAUAACGCCGGGGUGAGCACGGGACAGGCAGAACAACUCCGGCUGCACCAAAGGAUUGAGGGAGGGGAAUUCCCUCGAGCCACUGUUGCAUCUCGCUGUGGAACCUCCCCUGUGUUCCUGGGGUUCACAACUCCCCAUAAAUCCACGGGAUCUGCUCCUUCUGGACGGUAUUUUGAAUUUCUUCGUUUGAGGUUCGCGAACCGAAGGCCGGACGUUGCACUCGCAGUUCUCCCUUCUGUGUUUGCUUUGUCCAACAAUAAGGGCUUUUUCUCAGCCCUUCUUGCGUGGUUUGAUCCAUUGGGUUCAUCCCUAGCCACGGUUUUGGGGGAUGUUGUAGCAAAUGGGAUUCUGAGGGGCACUGGGAAGUAACUGAUGCUUUUGAAAGCCUCCCUCGUGCAGGGAUUAAGGCAAAGGAGCCCCUUGGCAGUGUGGCACAACCCCAGUCUCAGAGGGUUCCAGACUCCAGGGCUGUGCUGGUGAUUUUGUAGGAUCUGAGGACUGUGCAUACAACAUCUGUGUCUACAUUACCUGAUGAGAUAUCACAAAUGGGGAGUGAAUUCUUUCCCCUGCCCCUUUUAAAGCUCAUGGAGGAUCAUUUGGGGCUUCCCAGAAAGCAAGGCUGAUACCACUGCAGGUCAGGCUUUGCUGCUUCUUGGUUUGCCUUUGGGAAAAGUGCUGGAUUAUGGACAUUUCAGGCUGGGAAAGAGCAAUACAAUGUCUUUGAUGCUUUCUCAGAGUUAGGAAUGGAGCUUCAUCCUGUGGUACUGAGGGAAGAGUCCGUACAAACAUAAGAACUGGAGGUCCAGGAGGAAUUCCAGAGAGCACGAAGGAGAAGAUAAUGAAGUGAAGGUAAAAGUAAUUUGUGUUUUAAUAGGGAGAAAAGUGAUAUUUGGCUUUACUGUCCUGGAAGUGACCACUGGAUGGUGCCUGUGGAAAACUCUGACCUCAAGGAGUCCUGCUCUCAAAAUUCCUGGAGAAAGGAUCCACCUUGGCUUUGCUCAUUGGGAAGAGACCGUCGAGUUCCAACCCCUCAAAAAGAACAGAGCAGGUUUUGGGGGAGUUUCUCUGUCCAGACUAAGGUCAGCUUUGCUCAUCACACCUACACUGAAAUUACAGGAGUAUUUUCCAAACAACUUAUGGGCAGUGAUCAGGGAAGAAACUUGGAGAACCUCUUCCUCACAGACUCUUGUGCCCAGCUCUCCAUGUUUGAUAUCCAGGUUGUUUUAUUCUCCCCAUAACAAGGAAUAUUUCAUCCUGCACCUUUGCCUCGA